GCGCCGGUGGUGUAAGGAGUAGCGUCGCUGCUACAAAAGCAGAAGGUGCGGGUUCGAGUCCCGCCUGGCGCA
rnacentral:tRNA from 1 species